rnacentral:rRNA from 1 species
GGAAGUCUGGUGCCAGCAGCCGCGGUAAUUCCAGCUCCAAUAGCGUAUAUUAAAGUUGUUGCAGUUAAAAAGCUCGUAGUUGAAUUUCGGGAUCAAUAUUUCGGUCAUGCCGUUGGUAUGCACUGUUAUCAUUGAUUUCUCACCUUCUAAAGAACCAUAAUGCCAUUAAUUUGGUGUUACGGGGAAUUAGGACUGUUACCUUGAAAAAAUUAGAGUGUUUAAAGCAGGCUCACGCUUGAAUACAUUAGCAUGGAAUAAUGAAAUAGGACAUCCGAUUCUAUUUUGUUGGUUUCUAGGAUCGAUGUAAUGAUUAAUAGGGAUAGUUGGGGGCAUUAGUAUUCAAUUGUCAGAGGUGAAAUUCUUGGAUUUAUUGAAGACUAACUACUGCGAAAGCAUUUGCCAAGGAUGUUUUCAUUAAUCAAGAACGAAAGUUAGGGGAUCGAAGACGAUCAGAUACCGUCGUAGUCUUAACCAUAAACUAUGCCGACUAGGGAUCGGAUGAUGUUAAUUUUUUAAUGACUCAUUCGGCGCCUUACGGGAAAC